GAUGAACGCUGGCGGCGUGCCUAAUACAUGCAAGUCGAGCGAACAGACGAGGAGCUUGCUCCUUCGACGUUAGCGGCGGACGGGUGAGUAACACGUAGGUAACCUACCUAUAAGACUGGGAUAACUUCGGGAAACCGGAGCUAAUACCGGAUAAUAUUUCGAACCGCAUGGUUCGAUAGUGAAAGAUGGCUUUGCUAUCACUUAUAGAUGGACCUGCGCCGUAUUAGCUAGUUGGUAAGGUAACGGCUUACCAAGGCAGCGAUACGUAGCCGACCUGAGAGGGUGAUCGGCCACACUGGAACUGAGACACGGUCCAGACUCCUACGGGAGGCAGCAGUAGGGAAUCUUCCGCAAUGGGCGAAAGCCUGACGGAGCAACGCCGCGUGAGUGAUGAAGGUCUUCGGAUCGUAAAACUCUGUUAUUAGGGAAGAACAAACGUGUAAGUAACUGUGCACGUCUUGACGGUACCUAAUCAGAAAGCCACGGCUAACUACGU
rnacentral:rRNA from 1 species